rnacentral:RNase_P_RNA from 1 species
AGAGUAGACGCAGGCGGUUGCAGAUCAGUCAUAGUCACUGAUUUGAGGAAAGUCCGGGCUCCCGAAAGACCAAACUUGCUGGAUAACGUCCAGUGCGAGCGAUCGUGAGGAUAGUGCCACAGAAAGAUACCGCCAGAUCAAUUAAAAAUUAAAAAUGUAAAAUGAGCAAUCAAUUUUUAAUUUUUAGUUUUACAUUUUUAAUUGAUCUGGUAAGGGUGCAAAGGUGCGGUAAGAGCGCACCAGCAGUAUCGAGAGGUGCUGGCUCGGUAAACCCCGGUUGGGAGCAAGGCGAUAGGAACUACGGUUGGUCUUUUACCAGUUCCGCUCAACGAGAGCCGCUAGAGGCGUUUGGUAACAAGCGUCCCAGAUAGAUAACUGCCCUCGCAAGAGAACAGAACCCGGCUUAUGUACUGCUCUUUCC